rnacentral:sRNA from 1 species
ACACAAGUUUCCUCUUUGAAUUGAGCAGCAGAAAUGAAAGCAGCAAAUGAAGCAGAAGGAAAAGUAGAAUCCGAGAAGGCAGACAUGGAAGAUGGAGAGA